ACUCCUACGGGAGGCAGCAGUGGGAAUAUUGGACAAUGGGGAAACCUGAUCCAGCCAUGCCGCGUGUGUGAAGAAGGCCUUCGGGUUGUAAAGCACUUUCAGUGGGGAGGAAAGGUUGAUGGUUAAUACCCAUCAGCUGUGACGUUACCCACAGAAGAAGCACCGGCUAACUCCGUGCCAGCAGCCGCGGUAAUACGGAGGGUGCAAGCGUUAAUCGGAAUUACUGGGCGUAAAGCGUGCGCAGGCGGUCUGUUAAGCGAGAUGUGAAAGCCCCGGGCUGCAACCU
rnacentral:rRNA from 1 species